rnacentral:rRNA from 1 species
UACGGAGGGUGCAAGCGUUGCUCGGAAUUACUGGGCGUAAAGCGAACGCAGGCGGUCUUCUAAGUCGGGCGUGAAAGCCCCGGGCUCAACCUGGGAAUUGCACUCGAUACUGGUAGACUUGAGUCUGAGAGUGGGAAGCGGAAUUCCUGGUGUAGAGGUGAAAUUCGUUGAUAUCAGGAGGAACACCGGCGGCGAAGGCGGCUUCCUGGCUCAGUACUGACGCUCAUGUUCGAAAGCGUGGGGAGCGAACAGG